UACGUAGGGUGCAAGCGUUAAUCGGAAUUACUGGGCGUAAAGCGUGCGCAGGCGGUUUUGCAAGACAGAUGUGAAAUCCCCGGGCUCAACCUGGGAACUGCAUUUGUGACUGCAUGGCUAGAGUACGGUAGAGGGGGAUGGAAUUCCGCGUGUAGCAGUGAAAUGCGUAGAUAUGCGGAGGAACACCGAUGGCGAAGGCAAUCCCCUGGACCUGUACUGACGCUCAUGCACGAAAGCGUGGGGAGCAAACAGG
rnacentral:rRNA from 1 species